rnacentral:rRNA from 1 species
CAGUAGCCGCGGGAAUACGUAGGGUGCAAGCGUUAAUCGGAAUUACUGGGCGUAAAGCGUGCGCAGGCGGUUAUAUAAGACAGAUGUGAAAUCCCCGGGCUCAACCUGGGAACUGCAUUUGUGACUGUAUAGCUAGAGUACGGCAGAGGGGGAUGGAAUUCCGCGUGUAGCAGUGAAAUGCGUAGAUAUGCUGAGGAACACCGAUGGCGAAGGCAAUCCCCUGGGCCUGUACUGACGCUCAUGCACGAAAGCGUGGGGAGCAAACAGGAUUAGAUACCCGCGUAGUCCCUGUCUCUUAUAC